rnacentral:rRNA from 1 species
AAUUUAAUUUAGGACCUUAAUUUUUUAGUUAAAAAGCUAAAAUAUAUUUAUUGGACGAGAAGACCCUAUAGAUCUUUAUAAUUUAAUAGGUUUUAUAAUUUAGAGUAUUGCUUAUUUUAAUUUAAUGGAAUUAUUUGAUUGGGGUGAUUGUAGAAUUUUAUUAACUUCUAUUAUUUGUUUUUCAAGAAUUAUUGUUUUAUUGAUCUCAUAACUUAUGAUUAAAAGAUUAAGUUACCUUAGGGAUAACAGCGUAAUUUCUUCGGAAAAGUUCAUAUUGAUGAGGAA